CCCUUAGAUGUUCUGGGCCGCACGCGCGCUACACUGACGAAGUCAGCGAGCAUGUCCUACGCCGACAGGUGCGGGGAAUCUUGUCAAACUUCGUCGUGAUGGGGAUUGAUUAUUGAAAUUCUUGAUCAUCAACGAGGAAUUCCUAGUAAGCGCAAGUCAGCAGCUUGCGUUGAUUACGUCCCUGCCCUUUGUACACACCGCCCGUCGCUACUACCGAUUGACUGGUUUAGUGAGAUCUUCGGAUUGGCGCCACUGCGGCUCAGCAAUGGGCUCGGUGGAUGCCGAAAAGUUGAUCAAACUUGAUCAUUUAGAGGAAGUAAAAGUCGUAACA
rnacentral:rRNA from 1 species